rnacentral:rRNA from 1 species
CCUACGGGAGGCAGCAGUAAGGAAUAUUGGUCAAUGGAGGCAACUCUGAACCAGCCAUGCCGCGUGCAGGAUGAAGGCCCUAUGGGUCGUAAACUGCUUUUACACAAGAGAAAACCCCGGUACGUGUACCGGAUUGAUAGUAUUGUGAGAAUAAGCAUCGGCUAACUUCGUGCCAGCAGCCGCGGUAAUACGAAGGAUGCAAGCGUUAUCCGGAUUCAUUGGGUUUAAAGGGUGCGUAGGCGGACCUGUAAGUCAGUGGUGAAAUCUCUUUGCUUAACAAAGAAACUGCCAUUGAUACUGCAAGUCUAGAGUAUAGAUGACGUUGGCGGAAUAUGACAUGUAGUGGUGAAAUACUUAGAUAUGUCAUAGAACACCGAUUGCGAAGGCAGCUAACGAAACUAUAACUGACGCUGAGGCACGAAAGUGCGGGGAUCAAACAGGAUUAGAUACCCUGGUAGUCCGCACCGUAAACGAUGAUUACUCGUUGUUGGCAAUAUGACCGUCAGCGACCAAGCGAAAGCGAUAAGUAAUCCACCUGGGGAGUACGCCGGCAACGGUGAAACUCAAAUGAAUUGACGGCUGAGACGNGCGACGGACGACGACGAGGGGAGGAGG